AGGACAGGUGUGUGUGUUACCUGUUAGUACAGAGGACAGGUGUGUGUUGCCUGUUAGUACAGAGGACAGGUGUGUGUGUUGCCUGUUAGUACAGAGGACAGGUGUGUGUGUUACCUGUUAGUACAGAGGACAGGUGUGUGUGUUGCCUGUUAGUACAGAGGACAGGUGUGUGUGUUACCUGGUUGAUGCAGAGGACAGGUGUGGUGAACUCCAGGCUCAGGUGGUGCAGUGUGGAGGAGAAGGUGAUCA